rnacentral:rRNA from 1 species
AUUGAACGCUGGCGGCAGGCCUAACACAUGCAAGUCGAGCGAGCGGCGGACGGGUGAGUAAUGUAUGGGGACCUGCCCGAUAGAGGGGGAUACCUACUGGAAACGGUGGCUAAUACCGCAUCCCCUCGGCUGAACCCAUAUUGGAUUAGCUAGUAGGUGGGGGAAAGGCUCACCUAGGCGACGAGCCCUAGCUGGUCUGAGAGGAUGACCAGCCACACUGGAACUGAGACACGGCCCAGACUCCUACGGGAGGCAGCAGUAGGGAAUAUUGCACAAUGGGCGAAAGCCUGAUGCAGCCAUGCCGCGUGUAUGAAGAAGGCCUUAGGGUUGUAAAGUACUUUCAGCAGGGAGGCGUUACCCGCAGAAGAAGCACCGGCUAACUACGUGCCAGCAGACGCGGUAAUAC